rnacentral:rRNA from 1 species
GACGAACGCUGGCGGCGUGCCUAAUACAUGCAAGUCGAACGCUUCUUUCCUCCCGAGUGCUUGCACUCAAUUGGAAAGAGGAGUGGCGGACGGGUGAGUAACACGUGGGUAACCUACCCAUCAGAGGGGGAUAACACUUGGAAACAGGUGCUAAUACCGCAUAACAGUUUAUGCCGCAUGGCAUAAGAGUGAAAGGCGCUUUCGGGUGUCGCUGAUGGAUGGACCCGCGGUGCAUUAGCUAGUUGGUGAGGUAACGGCUCACCAAGGCCACGAUGCAUAGCCGAACUGAGAGGGUGAUCGGCCACACUGGGACUGAGACACGGCCCAGACUCCUACGGGAGGCAGCAGUAGGGAAUCGUCGGCAAUGGACGAAAGUCUGACCGAGCAACGCCGCGUGAGUGAAGAAGGUUUUCGGAUCGUAAAACUCUGUUGUUAGAGAAGAACAAGGACGUUAGUAACUGAACGUCCCCUGACGGUAUCUAACCAGAAAGCCACGGCUAACUACGUG